AUCAGAGAGUUUGAUCCUGGCUCAGGAUGAACGCUGGCGGCGUGCCUAACACAUUCAAGUCGAACGGACUUACUGGAAUUAAUCCUUCGGGAAGCGUUUUAGUAAGUUAGUGGCGGACGGGUGAGUAACGCGUGAGCAACCUGCCUGUGUGAGGGGAAUAACGGCUGGAAACGGUCGCUAAUACCGCAUAACGUAUUGAGAUCGCAUGUUCUUGAUACCAAAGAUUUAUCGCACACAGAUGGGCUCGCGUUGGAUUAGAUAGUUGGUGAGGUAACGGCUUACCAAGUCUGCGAUCCAUAGCCGGACUGAGAGGUUGAACGGCCACAUUGGAACUGAGAAACGGUCCAGACUCCUACGGGAGGCAGCAGUGGGGAAUAUUGGGCAA
rnacentral:rRNA from 1 species